rnacentral:rRNA from 1 species
UUUUAUUUGAGAGUUUGAUCCUGGCUCAGGAUGAACGCUGGCGGCGUGCCUAACACAUGCAAGUUGAGCGAUUUACUUCGGUAAAGAGCGGCGGACGGGUGAGUAACGCGUGGGUAACCUACCCUGUACACACGGAUAACAUACCGAAAGGUAUGCUAAUACGGGAUAAUAUAUUUGAGAGGCAUCUCUUGAAUAUCAAAGGUGAGCCAGUACAGGAUGGACCCGCGUCUGAUUAGCUAGUUGGUAAGGUAACGGCUUACCAAGGCGACGAUCAGUAGCCGACCUGAGAGGGUGAUCGGCCACAUUGGAACUGAGACACGGUCCAAACUCCUACGGGAGGCAGCAGUGGGGAAUAUUGCACAAUGGGCGAAAGCCUGAUGCAGCAACGCCGCGUGAGUGAU